ACUACUGUAGCACCUUAGAGGUGACCAAACCCUCAUGUUGAGAGGUAACUAACUAACUAACUACUGUAGCACCUUAGAGGUGACCAAACCCUCAUGUUGAGAGGUAACUAACUAACUAACUACUGUAGCUCCUUAGAGGUGACCAAACCCUCAUGUUGAGAGGUAACUAACUAACUACUGUAGCUCCUUAGAGGUGACCAAACCCUCAUGUUGAGAGGUAACUAACUAACUAACUACUGUAGCUCCUUAGAGGUGACCAAACCCUCAUGUUGAGAGGUAACUAACUAACUACUGUAGCACCUUAGAGGUGACCAAACCCUCAUGUUGAGAGGUAAAUAACUAACUAACUACUGUAGCUCCUUAGAGGUGACCAAACCCUCAUGUUGAGAGGUAACUAACUAACUAACUACUGUAGCUCCUUAGAGGUGACCAAACCCUCAUGUUGAGAGGUAACUAACUAACUAACUACUGUAGCUCCUUAGAGGUGACCAAACCCUCAAGUUAAGAGGUAACUAACUAACUACUGUAGCACCUUGGAGGUGACCAAACCCUCAAGUUAAGAGGUAACUAACUAACUACUGUAGCACCUUAGAGGUGACCAAACCCUCAAGUUAAGAGGUAACUAACUAACUACUGUAGCUCCUUAGAGGUGACCAAACCCUCAUGUUGAGAGGUAACUAACUAACUACUGUAGCACCUUAGAGGUGACCAAACCCUCAUGUUGAGAGGUAACUAACUAACUACUGUAGCUCCUUAGAGGUGACCAAACCCUCAUGUUGAGAGGUAACUAACUAACUAACUAACUACUGUAGCUCCUUAGAGGUGACCAAACCCUCAUGUUGAAAGGUAACUAACUACUGUAGCUCCUUAGAGGUGACCAAACCCUCAUGUUGAGAGGUAACUAACUACUGUAGCACCUUAGAGGUGACCAAACCCUCAUGUUGAGAGGUAACUAACUAACUAACUACUGUAGCUCCUUACAGGUGACCAAACCCUCAUGUUGAGAGGUAACUAACUAACUAACUACUGUAGCUCCUUAGAGGUGACCAAACCCUCAUGUUGAGAGGUAACUAACUAACUACUGUAGCUCCUUAGAGGUGACCAAACCCUCAUGUUGAGAGGUAACUAACUAACUAACUACUGUAGCUCCUUAGAGGUGACCAAACCCUCAUGUUGAGAGGUAACUAACUAACUAACUACUGUAGCUCCUUAGAGGUGACCAAACCCUCAUGUUGAGAGGUAACUAACUAACUAACUACUGUAGCUCCUUUGAGCUGACCAAACCCUCAUGUUGAGAGGUAACUAACUAACUAACUACUGUAGCUCCUUAGAGGUGACCAAACCCUCAUGUUGAGAGGUAACUAACUAACUAACUACUGUAGCUCCUUAGAGGUGACCAAACCCUCAUGUUGAGAGGUAACUAACUAACUAACUAACUACUGUAGCUCCUUAGAGGUGACCAAACCCUCAUGUUGAGAGGUAACUAACUAACUAACUAACUACUGUAGCUCCUUAGAGGUGACCAAACCCUCAUGUUGAGAGGUAACUAACUAACUAACUAACUACUGUAGCUCCUUAGAGGUGACCAAACCCUCAUGUUGAGAGGUAACUAACUAACUAACUACUGUAGCUCCUUAGAGCUGACCAAACCCUCAUGUUGAGAGGUAACUAACUAACUACUGUAGCUCCUUAGAGGUGACCAAACCCUCAUGUUGAGAGGUAACUAACUAACUACUGUAGCUCCUUAGAGGUGACCAAACCCUCAUGUUGAGAGGUAACUAACUAACUAACUACUGUAGCUCAUUAGAGGUGACCAAACCCUCAUGUUGAGGGGUAACUAACUACUGUAGCACCUUAGAGGUGACCAAACCCUCAUGUUGAGAGGUAACUAACUACUGUAGCUCCUUUGAGCUGACCAAACCCUCAUGUUGAGAGGUAACUAACUAACUAACUACUGUAGCUCCUUAGAGGUGACCAAACCCUCAUGUUGAGAGGUAACUAACUAACUAACUACUGUAGCUCCUUUGAGCUGACCAAACCCUCAUGUUGAGGAGUAACAGGUCUGGCCUGGCUCAACAAUGAUUUAUUUAUUGGAAUUAAAAGGCUCUAUCUGAAAAAAAAGGAUUCUGAGAUGAUUUGUUUUAUAGUUCCGAACCCUCAUUGGUUUGAGUUUUGUGAGCAAUUUUGAACUUGCUUUUUAACUUAACAACGUGAAUCAGGGUGUUUAGGAGAAGGCUGUGUUAAUAACUCAGUUUUGAGAAAAAUGCAGAUAGAACCAUUAUAAUCCCAAAUUCUCGAUUUGUAGGAAUAGUUCCUAUCGGAGAUUCCAACCAACACACAGUAGAGGGUGCUAUUGGUAUACUGUUGUGAUUCAGGAACUAAUGUUUUGUAAACCAUGUUGAAUGUUAAACUGGUGCUGUUUGCUUAUCAAAUACAGUAAGCCAACUUUUAUUAAUGCUGUAUUCAUUGAUUCAAAAUGAUCUGGCUUGUAAUGAUGGUCAGUGUUUAGUGUUCAGGGCUGACAGUGUCUCACAUACAUCUCUCAUGAAUGCUGAUUCAUAGUAAGUAGCCUAUGUAAUAAAGUGUGUGUGCGUGUGUGUGUGAGGAUAAUCAAUACUUAGCUGCAUGCCAGAGCAGCAGGGUCCUUCCUCUCCUCCCUCCAUACUUAACCCCUCUCCCCUUCAAGUCACUUGACACAACCCACGUUUUGGAAUUCAGAAAUCCUUCUCCAAAUUCUGAUUCUAAUUUUAGAUCACACAGUACAUUGUAGUAAAUAGAUUCUACACCCCUAGACAUCCCGGAGCAGGCUGCGGGACACAUUUUUCUCACUGUGGGGUGUAAUUCCAGAGACGACAAAUGGUCUAUUUGUGUAGAAAUCAUUCCUGGAUGGGGUGAGACGCCUCAGUGGUAUGCACAGUGUUGGAGAAUGGAGGAGGAGGACUGCUAGCUAGCUCGCUUUGUCUUUCUUCCCCCUCUCCCUUUUCCCGCUCUGUCCUUCUAGGAAUGUUUUGGGGGUGAUUUUUGUGUUAUUUGUUGUUGUAUGUUUCUUGUAUUUAUUGUGGAGAGAGAAAUAGUUGUGUAUACUCAGAAUGUGAGCAGCUGACAUUGAGCCAGCGUUUCUUGAUUUCUCUGUG